rnacentral:rRNA from 1 species
UACGAAGGGGGCUAGCGUUGUUCGGAAUUACUGGGCGUAAAGCGCGUGUAGGCGGGUCUUUAAGUCAGGGGUGAAAUGCCAAGGCUCAACCUCGGAACUGCCUUCGAUACUGCGGGUCUCGAGUCCGGGAGAGGUGAGUGGAAUUCCUAGUGUAGAGGUGAAAUUCGUAGAUAUUAGGAAGAACACCAGUGGCGAAGGCGGCUCACUGGCCCGGUACUGACGCUGAGGCGCGAAAGCGUGGGGAGCAAACAGG